rnacentral:rRNA from 1 species
ACUCAAGAAAAGGAUCUGAGUCCAACCUAAAGUCCCCUAUUUAUAUUAAAAAUUCCCCCGACUUUAGAGCAAUUCAAAUAAGGUACAGCCUAUUUGAAACAGGAUACAACCUCGUCCGACGGGUAAAAUUUCUUACCUUAACUUUAAGUGGGCCUAAAAGCAGCCAUCUUUCUAAAAGCGUCACAGCUUAAUCUUACAUAACCUUCAAUACCCUAACCUAAUUUUAACCCUCCACUAAUACUGAGUAACUCUAUACCCCUUAUAGAAGAUUUUAUGUUGAAACUAGUAACAAGAAGCAAGACCUUCUCUUAAAUGCAAGCACAAAUCAGAAAGGACAGACCACUGAUAAUUAACGCCAAUGAUCACCAAUCAGCAACCUCCCAAGAAAAACCUAAUUACUCUUGACGUUAACCUGACACCAGAGCAUUUCAAGAAAGAUUUAAAGAGAAAGAAGGAACUCGGCAAUCAUUAACCCCGCCUGUUUACCAAAAACAUCGCCUCUUGAGUUAAAAAUAAGAGGUCCAGCCUGCCCAGUGACAAAUGUUCAACGGCCGCGGUAUCCUAACCGUGCGAAGGUAGCGUAAUCACUUGUUCUUUAAAUGUGGACUAGUAUGAACGGCACCACGAGGGUUAUACUGUCUCCUUUCUCCAAUCAGUGAAACUAAUCUCCCCGUGAAGAAGCGGGGAUACAAAUAUAAGACGAGAAGACCCUAUGGAGCUUAAAAGUUUACUUCAAACGCUAACCCCCUGCAAAGUCAUAGACUACCACAAGAAGCCACGCGCUAUGAAAACAACUUUUAGGUUGGGGUGACCAUGGAGCACAAAAUAACCUCCACGCUGAACAGGCCUCCAAGCCUCGAGCCAAGGGCCACAACCCGCCGCACUAAAAAAUUAACAUCCAUUGAUCCAAUGAAUUUUGAUCAACGAACCAAGUUACCCUAGGGAUAACAGCGCAAUCUACUUCAAGAGUUCCUAUCGACAAGUGGGUUUACGACCUCGAUGUUGGAUCAGGGUGUCCCAGUGGUGCAGCCGCUACUAAUGGUUCGUUUGUUCAACGAUUAAAACCCU